CAUCAGUGCCCUUUCUAAGUGGUUGGAAAUCAACCUGAGGUCUUCUCACCGCUGGCCCACAUGACCGAAUCUCCCCUACCUAUAAUACAGGUUGCACGAGGAGACAUAGGGGCACAAUUUCCCUACUGUGAAAAAAAAUAAAUUCCUGACAUACCGAAACCAACCACCCAGUUUACUAAACCUUAUGAAAUGGUAUAAAUGCUGUAUACUCUAAAUAUGUCAGAGAAAAUAAACAGGGUUGUGUUAAGGAAUGAUCUCACCAGUCGAUGCUCUCUGGUCCGUCUCCUCUGACCAUCAGCACCCCUCCCUCAGGCGGUUUAGAGUUCCUGCAUGUUCCCGUUGGAUUGCCCACGGCCAGGCCAAAAGAGGCAACCGAAACUGCCUCUAUUCUUGCGGGAACAAUACAUAAACAGCCAUUGUAUUGAUUCCCAUGGGUAUCUUCCCAAAUCGAAUGUCCAUUCGAAUGUCUAGCGGUAUCUUCAUAAAUGUAAACGUAGCGGUCAGCAUAGUCUCUUCCUCAACCCCGGGUCUGUAGUCCUAUUUGGUCCCAGUUGCUGCAAACACCGGCGAUCACAGAUCUGGUGUGUACUACUCUCCCAUUUUAGACCUUUUCUAGACCCGCGUAGACACGCUCAACACUUCCUAAGUGGAGCAAAACGGCCUCCAGACGGCCUACUGCAUCACCACGUUCACAACAAAGAGGUCCAUAGAGCGAAAGGAACCGUGGGCAAACUCGGACACCAGCAGGGUUGGCUAUGCCAAUUGUAGGGAAAUGUUCUCCGAUGUAGCGUCGCCGGGCGGGAUAGGACUACGCAAACCUCCAAGGAGUCCCAGCGAUCGGCCUGGCGGAACACUGCGGGAGUGGUCAGAGGGACGAUCCAUCCAACCUGAGCGAAAAGAACUACAACACAGAGAUCAAUAAACCCACACAAACUUCCCCAAAGUGUCCAGACUUUCAACAUACAGUAGCCUACACCUUCCAAACAACUUCAUAUUAUACCUUCUGCAACGUCCAUACCACGGCCAUAUUCCUCCAAUCUGCCCGGCAGGCCACGCAUCCACCACCGAAUGAAAACGCCAUUUUACGGGAAAACCUAAUAACUCUCAAAGAUACAUUUGUUCACAUGCCCAGACAACAGAAAUAUUAACCUCGCUGCCAAAUAUGUACCAUAAUCCUUACCCCACAUCAAAUGCAGCAAAAAACAUGCACAGCGAAAAAACCCAUUUUUAUUAAUUUAGUUCAUUUUAACUGAAAGUGCUCUAACACAUAUACCCGCACAAUAACGCAUAGAAGUGCCCUAACACUCAUCUCAAUUAACGUGCCCAUAACUUCGUUAAUAGACCUGUCGGCCCAUAAGUGAGACAUUCAAGGCCCUAACCUUGUUUGCAGAUUUUAAAUGUGCCCUAACACAUUUACCAGAAUGUGCCCUAACACAUAUACCCAAACCAUAUUUAACUGCAUCGUGCCCUUAAAAUUUAAGCCCGGGUACUAGUACUGAUGAAUCCCAAAGAAUCAUUUAAGCCGGGCGCCCUGACUCUCACCCCUUUCGCAGCCAGUCCACGAGCGGGGGAGGAUUUGGGCUCCGGGACCCAGUCUCCGGCCGUGCACGGAUAACCAGCUAGGAAAUGAUUUUGAGACACCAGUUUGGACUCCUCCACCUCAUUCCUCUGGACCAGAUAUCCUGCAAUGUGUUCAGCAGUGUUCCAAUGGAUGUUCUGUGUUCUUGGCUGACCAGCCAGAUGAAUGGAGGACCUCCCAUGUUUGGAGUGGAUCCCUCCCAGAACCAGGGACAAUGGCAACAUUUACACCUGAGUACGCCUCCCUCUUCAUGUCAGAACCCAACACAGCUCCAGCCACUAUCCAGUCCAGCUAUAGCCAUAAUAAAAACGACUUCAUGGACUGGAUGGAGGGGCCCCAGAAGGACAGUAACAACAUCGGUCUAUGUGAGAAUAAAUACUCCAGUCAUCAGGAUGAGCAACCCAUGGAUGUUGAUGUUGUGGACAACAUUCAAUCAGGGGGUGUGACCAAGACAACCGCCCGGCUCUACCCAUCAAAACCUGCUACUCGUUGGUCAUUCUCCCGUCAGAACAAGUUGGAAUGUUGGUCAUACAGCCGGAGAACCCGUAGCAAGGCAACCACAAACCAGACACCAACUGUCACACCCUGAUUCCUUCUGAACCUCUGCCUGUCCCCCGACCACGUACCUGCCUGCCGCCCGUCUAAAUAAACCCUCCAUUUUGGCAUGCAUCUUUGAUUGCAAGCACUGGAGGCAUUCCCAGAGGACAGUACAUCAAGGGGCGUGGCCGCAUCAGCCCUGCUCAGCCGUUUCUUCACAGCUGCAGCCACUCUCCAUGAUUCAACACUGCAGUACUUAAACACGGGUUGAUCACCUCUUCAGCACCAGUACGUUAACUACAAACCCAUGUGCUCUACCGUCAGCUCCCACCUCCUCGCUGGGAAUCCUCCCGUCUACAGCCUUGGACUCACCACCGCCUGUCCCCCUCGGAUCCCUCAGUCGCCUCGCCUUCAUCUCGGACAAGCCUCAACCUCCAUUACACCUCUG
ensembl:lncRNA